GCUGGCACGUGUGAUGACAAUUUCUUUCCCCAUCAGAUCGACCAUGUUGAUCUCACUUUCUCUUAAGCCAGUUUGUCUGACAUGCCAGC
ensembl:snoRNA